rfam:Sclerotinia sclerotiorum 1980 scaffold_5 genomic scaffold, whole genome shotgun sequence.
GGGGCUGUAACUCAGUGGUAGAGUGCCUCGUUUGCAUCUUCAAGAUUCCGAAAGGAUUCCUUGAUUCCCAUCGAUGAAGUCCAGGGUUCGACUCCCUGCCGCUCCA